ensembl:lncRNA
UGCAAGAUUACACCCUCCUCCACUCCUUCGAGAAGCAAAGAUCUUAACCGCGGAGUGUUUCUCAUCCCCAACGCUGGCGGUCGAAGACAUCACUGUCUAAUCUCUCGCGUUCCUUCUGCUAGUUCCUCACAGGCGGGGCUCGUGAAUUCUGUUAGGACAGCCGCACAACCCGGUUACAGUUAGGUUUCUGGAUGUUAACAUUAUCUUGUAAUGAUUCACUGUUUUUAUCCGAAAGACGAUCCACAAACAUUUCCCGAUUGCUCACUAGGUGCAUAAUCAGAAUUAAUCGCUGGAGGAAGAUCAAUGAUGUGGAACACAGCAUUCUAACCUGGAAGCUAGACUCUUUAAAUAGCGAUAGUACAUCAUGAGAAACGCUGGGCUGGAGGAAGCACAAGCUGGAAUCAAGAUUGCGGGAGAAAUAUCAGUAACCUCAGAUAUGCAGAUGACACCGCACUUAUGACAGAAAGUGAAGAAGAACUAAAGAGCCUCUGAAUGAAGCCCUGGAUUCCUGUUCUUAUUCCAC